UUACAGCCAUAUCAUGUUGAAACACAGGUUCUGUUCUUGUACAAUCACCAAGGUUAAGCAAUGUUGAGCCUGGUCAGUACCUAGAUGGAUGACUGCUUGGGAAUACUAGGUGCUGUAAG